CAGCUUUUGCGUUGGAUCCAGGUUUAAACAGGGUUACAUGGGGGUUGUGCGCCCCCCUCCCCCAGGGGAUGUAUUCAUUCCUCACUUGAACUAGUUCACUUCAGCUUCCUCUCUCCUCACUCAUGUUGCCCCGCCCCCAUAUGACAGCUCCUUCCUCGUCCCCUGCUUCCCCUGACUGGGCUAGACAGAGGGAGACUGAGACACUCAGAAGACAUUCCCCAACUGUAUCUCUGCUCCUCCCCCACUCCACCUCUGAGUUUGCUCUCCCCACCCUUCUGUGCCUCAACUCCCUCUCCCAUAUGUGCCUCAGCUCCCUCUCCCAUAUGUGCCUCAGCUCCCUCUCCCAUAUGUGCCUCAGCUCUCUCUCCCAUAUGUGCCUCUGCCACUUCCCUCCUCUGUGCCUCGGCCCAUUUGCCUUCUGUAAUUCUGACACUAUCUUCACCCCCUCCCCUUCCCCAUGUGCCCCUGCCCCUUUCUGUGUACCUCUGCUGCUUCCUCAUGUGUUCCUCUGCCACCCCCAUCCCACUAUGGCUGGUCGCUGAGAUCAGUGGCGAAGACCAUAUACAGCGCCACAUAAUCCAUCUAAAGGAUAAUAGCUAGUUCUCAGGCUUCAUUGAGUACUGCAGCCUCGGCGGAGGACAGCUGAUGACCUGUGUUUGCAGUUUGUUAACAGGAGAAUGGAUAAAAAUGAUGUCAGUAUUGAACCUGGCUCAGGUGUCUCCCUAUGAAGAAGAAGAAGGUGACUCAGGCUUAGCAAUGGCAGAUUAUUAAUCAUCUUGUUCCCAGUGGAAGAAUCUAACUUAACAUGUUAAUAAAACAAAAAGAUGAUUAGUGA